CAACACAUUUCCUCUGCGGCUGCCCAGAAACAAGGGACCCCAGAAGACAAGGAAAACAGGGAGGCUGUGACAGCAGAGCCGUCUGCCUGUGCGGGAGGAGACCUCUGAAGGGUUCACACGCUUCUACAUUUAGAAAUGUGAGCUCCAAGCCCGGGCAUCUGCAUCAGGGGGUGGAAAGUAUGAGAAAGCAUGUCUAAUGCUGAAAGUUAAUGAUAGCAUUUGCCCAUGUUAACCAGUAAAUGACAAGGCAGGGUCACAGGAGUUAAUUAUUCAAGCAGAGCAUAAUGGUUUGCAGAAAAAAAACAACCAACAACCCUAGGUGGCUGGAAAGGCUCCUGUGCCAUGAAGACCUGAGCUUCAGGACAGAAACAAUCUGGGUUUGGCUAUGGAAGAAGCUCCCAUCCCAGCUCUCAACCUCCAGUGUGAUGUGGGCCACUCUCCUCACAUCCUGGAAGACACUCUUUGACCCUUUCCUGGACUAGAAAUGGAAGCCAACUGAAGCAGCAGGAUACUGUUCUUCCAAAACUACUUUGUAGUCCUCUCUUUUGAUGCCAUUGCUGGCCAUCAUACAAACCAGGCUGAUUUUAAGCUAUUUUGCUAAUUUACCUUCAUUCACCUGUACCAAUGGUAAUAACUACUGCUUUUAAUAUGGUUUUUCAAUCUUCUCUGCACCAUUCUUGCACUCAUUCCCUAGGAAUGAUUUCAGCUGGUAGUUACAGAUCUCCAGCUCAACAUUACAUUUCCCAGAGCAGGCAAGGGGGAUGAAGACAAGCUCUGCACCCUCCUCUCUUGUUGCCAGCCUGCUUAUUUUUAUGAGUAUCUUUAUGGGGAAUCUUUCAGUCAGUUUUGUGUUUUCUUUCCUGUGGGUUUAGACAGUGUAGCAGUCAUACACAGUGUCAGAUAAGUGUUGGUACUUAGAUGUACCUGAGCUCCCUUUAUAGUCACUGGACAUGAUUCAGGGGCAAGAGUCACAUAUUUAAUGCAUUUGUAGGAACUGCCAAGCUAUCCACAGUUCUGUCUAUCUAUCUAGCCUUCAGCUGCCACUGUGGAAGGUUCUUCAGUGGGUCAGUCCUGGGUCUCACUUGCCAUCCUGGGUACCAUAAGUGAGCUCAGAAAGCACUGAAGCCUUGCCUGUGGGUAAAUAAAGCUUCUA